GAUGAACGCUGGCGGCGUGCCUAACACAUGCAAGUCGAGCGAUCUUCUUCGGAAGAGAGCGGCGGACGGGUGAGUAACGCGUGGGUAACCUGCCCUGUACACACGGAUAACAUACCGAAAGGUAUGCUAAUACGGGAUAAUAUAUGAGAGUCACAUGACUUUUAUAUCAAAGUUUUUGCGGUACAGGAUGGACCCGCGUCUGAUUAGCUAGUUGGUAAGGUAACGGCUUACCAAGGCGACGAUCAGUAGCCGACCUGAGAGGGUGAUCGGCCACCCUGGAACUGAGACACGGUCCAGAAUCCUACGGGAGGCAGCAGUGGGGAAUAUUGCACAAUGGGCGAAAGCCUGAUGCAGCAACGCCGCGUGAGCGAUGAAGGCCUUCGGGUCGUAAAGCUCUGUCCUCAAGGAAGAUAAUGACGGUACUUGAGGAGGAAGCCCCGGCUAACUACGUGCCAGCCGCCGCCGUAA
rnacentral:rRNA from 1 species